GCUGCCCGCUCGUACGCGACCCCAGGUCAGGCGGGGCUACCCGCUGAGUUUAAGCAUAUCAAUAAGCGGAGAAAAG
rnacentral:rRNA from 1 species